rnacentral:rRNA from 1 species
AGAAUCAACGCUGGCGGCGUGCCUAACACAUGCAAGUCGAACGAGAAAGUGGAGCAAUCCAUGAGUAAAGUGGCGACCGGGUGAGUAACACGUGACUAACCUACCUUCGAGUGGGGGAUAACCUCGGGAAACCGAGGCUAAUACCGCAUAACAUCGCAAGAUCAAAGCAGCAAUGCGCUGGAAGAGGGGGUCGCGGCUGAUUAGCUAGUUGGCGGGGUAAUGGCCCACCAAGGCGAAGAUCGGUAGCCGGCCUGAGAGGGCGCGACGGCCGACGACUGGAACUGAAACACGGUCCAGACUCCUACGGGAGGCAGCAGUGGGGAAUUUUGCGCAAUGGGGGAAACCCUGACGCAGCAACGCCGCGUGGAGGAUGAAGCCCCUUGGGGUGUAAACUCCUUUCGACCAAGACGAUAAUGACGGUACUGGUGGAAGAAGCAACCGGCUAACUCUGUGCCAGCAGCCGC